rnacentral:rRNA from 1 species
AGAGUUUGAUCCUGGCUCAGAUUGAACGCUGGCGGCAGGCCUAACACAUGCAAGUCGAACGCGAAAGCUCCUUCGGGGGUGAGUAGAGUGGCGAACGGGUGAGUAACGCGUAGGAAUCUACCCAAGAGUGGGGGACAACCCGGAGAAAUCCGGGCUAAUACCGCAUACGCCCUACGGGGUAAAGUGGGGGACCUUUCGGGGCCUCAUGCUUUUGGAUGAGCCUGCGUCGGAUUAGCUUGUUGGUGAGGUAACGGCUCACCAAGGCGACGAUCCGUAGCUGGUCUGAGAGGAUGACCAGCCACACUGGGACUGAGACACGGCCCAGACUCCUACGGGAGGCAGCAGUGGGGAAUAUUGGACAAUGGGGGCAACCCUGAUCCAGCCAUGCCGCGUGUGUGAAGAAGGCCCUAGGGUUGUAAAGCACUUUCAGUGGGGAAGAAAAACCUGAAGCUAACAUCUUCGGGCUUUGACGUACCUACAGAAGAAGCACCGCUAAUU